AAUCUGUGGUGUGGGCACUGAGACCAAUAGCCCUUGAACCUUUCCCAUGCCUCACUAGAGCUCUCAAGGUUUUUCUGCUGGAAGGUAGAGAUUUCAUUCCUUAUCUU